GGGCAUGUGGUGUAGUUGGUUAUCACGCUCGCUUAGCACCUUGUGAGCAUGCGAGAGGGGUCCGGUUCAAUCCCGGACAUGUCCA